GCCUCUUUGGGACAGCGGUUGACUCCACCUGACUUGUAAUCAGGUUCCUUCGGGACGCGUCGGUUCGAAUCCGACAGGAGGCU
rnacentral:tRNA from 1 species